rnacentral:rRNA from 1 species
AGUGAACGCUGGCGGCGUGCCUAAUACAUGCAAGUCGAACGGAGUGGCGCACGGGUGAGUAAUGUAUAGCUAAUCUGCCCUACACUAGAGGACAACAGUUGGAAACGGCUGCUAAUACUCUAUAGUGUAGGAUGAGGCUAUAUUGUAUCAGCUAGUUGGUGAGGUAAUGGCUCACCAAGGCUAUGACGCAUAACUGGUCUGAGAGGAUGAUCAGUCAAACCUGAACCUAGACAACGUCCAGAACCCUACCGGAGGGAGCAGUAGGGAAUAAUUGCCAAUGGGGGAAACCCUUAAGCAGCAACGCCGCGUGGAGGAUGACACUUUUCGGGGCGUAAACUCCUUUUUGUAGGGAAGCGGUACCUAACGAAUAAGCACCGGCUAACUCCGUGCCAGCAGCCGCGGUAAUUC